AAAUGUCCUAAAGGUUUUACUAAAAGUCGCCUUUACACCACGUCUCAUAUGGCAAAUCGUGACAAGAAUAAAAAGAUUCUUCUGGAACUGGUGAAGCUGCCGGAGAACAGUAGCUGUGCUGACUGCGGCGCUGCAGACCCGGACUGGGCUUCAUACACUCUCGGCAUAUUUGUUUGCCUGAACUGCUCUGGAACUCAUCGCAAUUUAUCAAGCGUUAGCCGGAUAAAAUCCAUCCGCUUAGACUUCUGGGAUGACGAGCUCGUGCAGGUCAUGAAAGCCCUUGGAAACCGAGCUGCCAAGGAUGUCUUCGAGAAAUUUGUCCCCGUCUUCUAUUAUCAGCCACAGCAAGAUGACUGUGAUGUUCUAAGGGAGCAGUGGAUCAGAGCCAAGUAUGAAAGACAAGAGUUUGCAGAGCAAAAUAAACUUAGAGCCUACUCAUCAGGCGUAUAUGAAGGAGUGCUGUGGAAGAAGGGGAAGGACAACGGACAGUUUCUCAAGAGGAAGUUUGUUUUAUCCGAGCAAGACUUCACUCUAAAAUAUUAUAAGGAGGAUGAAUCUAAAGGGCCAAAGGCUGUUAUCUCUGUACAAAGUCUGAAUGCAACCUUUCAGCCACAGAAGAUCGGACAUGCUCACGGCCUUCAGAUUACUUAUUCAGUGGAUGAUCACACACGAAACCUCUUUGUUUACCACGAAAGUGGUCAGGAAAUUGUGAAUUGGUUCAAUGCUAUAAGAGCUACACGGCUUGCCUACUUGAAGACAGCAUUUCCUACAGCCAGUAAUGGCGAGCUGCUGCCUUGGACUACCAGAAAUUACCUUAAAGAGGGUUACAUGGAAAAAACUGGACCUUCGCAACGGGAGCCAUUCAAGAAGAGAUGGUUCAUCUUGGAUGGUCUAGACAGAAAACUACUCUAUUUUAAAACUGAGCUGGAUGCUGUGGAGCUUGGGGUCAUUUUCAUUGGGACAGAGAAUCAUGGGUACUCAGUGAGUGAGUGUAUGCCUAAGGGGACCAGAGGAAAUAAAUGGAAGUGUGGGAUGGCAGUGGAGACCCCAGACCGUCAGUUCGUCUUCAUGUGUGAGCAGGAGCGGGAGCGAAAGGAGUGGGUGGAUGCUCUGAGACAGGUCAUCUCAAAGCCUAUGCUUCCUCAGGAUUACACCACAGAGGCCAAUAUCCGCAGACGAAAAUGAUCCGGGAACAUCAUAAAGGACAGACGUGUGUUUGGAUUGUAGCACAGCUGGAUUGUAGCACAAUAUAUGAAAUAUUUCAUCUAAAGUAUGCUCUUUUUAAAAAAAAAAAAAAAAAAAAAAAAAAAAGGGAAUACAACACUCAAGGGUACUUUGAAUGAUGAAUGAGUUUCGCUUUCUAAAGGGGUUCUACAUGAACCUACAUCUACAUAGAACCUACAGGGUUUCCCCAGAGGCACAAGAUCACAAGACUCCAGAGUGUAGACACUGAAGGUGCUUUCACAUAUGCAGUGUUUAGUCCAUUUGAAUUGAACUCUGGUGUGUUUUCCUCUUUGGUGCUGUUUGUUUGUGCAGGUGAGAACACCGCAAUCACUCUCGAAUGUGGACCAAAACAGCUGAUCUGAGAUCUGGUCUGAUUGAGGUACUCUCUGUCUGGUUCUAAGUAAACUCUAGCGUGAUCUGAUUGCAGUGAGAAAGUGAUUCUACCCUGAAAAAGCCAGAUUCCACUGAACCUGGAAGUAAAGGCUCUGUAUUAUUGUUUACGGGCUGCAUUUUUGUAGAUGUGAGCUGCUAAACGGACCUGUAGGGCAGAGCUGUAGCACGGCAGAAAUGAGAUCUUUGGACUGAUGAACAAAAAGGGAGAAUACAAACGGUGGGUGCUUACAUAAAAAUGUUUCAAACUAGUUAUUUCUAUAAUUAUCUAGUAAUUUAUUGAGCGCUGGCGCCCUGGUCUCUGUAAUCGCAUCCCCAUACACCAUCCUCCUGCUACAGACUUGCACAAAACCAUUACACCCACCUGCUACAACUCUAUCAUCUGAAAAUAUUUGACUGAAUUGAGGUCGGUUUGUAUGUUUGAUAGAAAUAUCCGGCUUUUUCAUUGAUAGUGAAACACAAUAAGACAUAUCUUUUAUGCAUAAGUCAGAUGAUUGACUGCAUUACUUUCUGAAACAAGCAAAUAUAUUUUGGGGUUUUUUUUUAAAUACUUUUUUGUUAAACAAUUAUAACAAUUAUAUUAAUAAAACUUUUUUCUAAGUAAUAAACGUGGUCUGUAAUUCAAUACAACCAUCCAUCCAUUUUCCAUACUGCUUAUCCUACACAGGGUCACAGGGAGCCUGGAGCCUAUCCCAGGGAACUAUGGGUGGUAGACACCCUGGAUGGGGUCAAAGGGUACAAUUGUAUACACUACAGCUUGAAAAUGCCAAUCAGCACAUGUGUUUGGACUGGGGGAUUAAACCGGAGUACCUGGAGGAAUGGAAAUUAAAGAAAUAGGCAUGAUAACAGAGGUCAGAGGAGAAGGGUCAGACUGGUUCAAGCUGAAAGAAAAGCUACAGUAAGUCAAAUAACCACAUUUUACAACUGUGGUGAGCAGACAUGGAUCUCCAAACACGCAACACAGUGAACAUCGAGGCGGAACAGCAGAAGACCACGUCAGGUCCAAGUCCUGUCAGCCAAGAACAGAAACCUGAGGCUACAAUGGGCACAGGAUCACCUCACCUGGACAGAUUGGGAAAAGACCAGGCAAUGUUAUUUACAGCAUUUGGUAGAUGACCUUAUCCGGGGCCAUUUACAUUUACCUCAUUUAUGCACCUGAGGUUAAGAUCCUUGCUCAAGGGCCCAGCGGUGGAAGCUUGGCAGUGAUGGGAUUUGAACUCACAACCUUCUGAUCUUUAAUAGUUGUCUGAGGUGGGAUUUGAACCGAGGUCGUCUUGUUGGCAGCGUCAACCGAAUUUUAUAUAAAAAAGCCCUUUUUCUCAGAACAAAUACAAAACAGAUGUCUAUAAAUCACUUGUUUCUCUUUAUUUCU